rnacentral:pre_miRNA from 1 species
AAUAAACCAAUCUUUCAUCCUUUAUUUAUAAUCUUUGACUUUUCGUCUUAUUCAUUUUUUUUAUUGAUAUUUUUGUUUUUAUCAGAUGAUAAAUCAUGAAUAGUAUUUUACGUGUGACUAAUUUUUUUUCUAAUUUUCUGAAAAAUUUUCAAAUAAGACGGAUGGUCAAACGCUGGGCAUAAAAACCGAAG